rnacentral:rRNA from 1 species
AUACAUAGGGGGCGAGCGUUAUCCGGAUUUAUUGGGUUUAAAGGGAGCGUAGGUGGGAUAUUAAGUCAGCUGUGAAAGUUUGGGGCUCAACCUUAAAAUUGCAGUUGAUACUGGUUUCCUUGAGUACGGUACAGGUGGGCGGAAUUCGUGGUGUAGCGGUGAAAUGCUUAGAUAUCACGAAGAACUCCGAUCGCGAAGGCAGCUCACCGGGCCGGAACUGACACUGAUGCUCGAAAGUGCGGGUAUCAAACAGGAUUAGAUACCCUGGUAGUCCGCACAGUAAACGAUGAAUACUCGCUGUUUGCGAUACACAGUAAGCGGCCAAGCGAAAGCGUUAAGUAUUCCACCUGGGGAGUACGCCGGCAACGGUGAAACUCAAAUGAAUUGGCGGGG